ACAACUUGUAGUGAACACUAUUAGUAAUUUCUUAUGUUCAUGCUAUUUAGAAAAUAAUCAAUUUCUAUUGUAAUGAAUAACAAUGGACUUUGUUUUCGGGAUGUAGAAGCAGGGGUUUCCAGAAACCCGCUCGUCACACCCUGUGGUCAAAAUCCAUUGUUAUUCGUAACAAUAGAUCUAUUCAAUUUACACUUGUUUCAGAAAUAGAAACUAUGAAGUAUAACAAUAGAACUGAGGUGUAAGAUUCUCUUACAAACUUAGAAUAUUGUAAAGUGCUCAAGGCUCAAAUGAUCUCUUGAAUGGUUAUAUUCAAUAAUUAGCCUCAUUGUCAGUGCAAUGUUUCUUAUUGAUGCAUGACGUCCUUUUUCGGCAUUUCAUUUAUGGAUUAGUGUUAGUGAUUAUAAUUUGGAAAAUAUUUAAAAAAAAAAAUGCGUUAUAGACAUGAGGUGACACAACAGUACAAAGAAAAGGGAGGAAUUGUUUAUGUUUCCUGAUUGUCUUUACUAAAGUAGAAAAGCUGUCUGCAUAUUAUUCAAAUGUCAAGUAAUGUCAUGAUGCUGAUGUAACUGCAGUAUUAUAAGAUGGCUAUCGCUUCAAACAUAUAUUAGCUGGGUACAGAGGACUAAUUAAAGAUACAACAUGUGUGAAGAAACUGUGAAAAAUAAAGAAAUGUGACAAAUUUUAAAGAAUCUAGAGUUACAUGUAUAUAAUUUAUUGACAAAAGUCAGUUUUGAUUAAUCAUAGUGACAAAAGACU